rnacentral:lncRNA from 1 species
CCACUGAAUUGUGGUUCAUGGUUGUAUUGUGAUCAUUAAUGACUUAAAAACAUCUAACUGCAGAAACUUUCGUUAGAAGCUUUCAUAGUUGAUAGAACUCAGAGGAACGUUGCUUUGAUAAAAAGAAAUCCAUUAGUAACCAUAAAAGCAAUAUGAGAAGGACUUCUGAUGUCAACAAGCCUGUAGUCACAGGCAAAGAAUAAUAAUUCUGAAAAAACACCACCACAGAGCAGAGAGGAUGAGAAGGAAACAAAGAAAAAUGGAAAUCAAGAAAAUGAAGACAAGGA